GCGCGCCCCUCGCCCGGAGAGGGACCCGGAGUUUCCUCUUCGGCAUCGCUCCGGUGACCGCGGGCUGUGCCAGCCGGCCGCCCAGAUAGGCUGCGUGGCAGCCACGGCGCGAGCGAAACUCCUUGGAUGCGUCGGAAGUAAGCGCCGGGAGCAUUUUGUGAUCUUUGUGGGAGGAAGGCACAAGCCACCCAGGCCCCGUUCCCUCCAUCUUGAGCCUUCCAUGGUGAUUUGCAGCAGCACAGGGAAGUAUGGAGCACUGAGGGACAGAAGUUAGUGUUUAAACCUGACUUCACUUCAGCAUUAACGACCACACAAGUUUCAGAUAACAGAGGACCAGGGGUAGAAUAGCAGAAGCACUUAAGGUGCCUCAUUUAAAAGUUCUCUUUUGCAUAUCUAAAGAUUGGGGAGCUGUUCAGAAAAGAUGAUUAUACAAGUGUUUUUAUUUACUGUCCUAACAGAAGAUGAUGAUCCGCAUUACCUUACAUGCAUCUUGGAUGCAUCUGUAUUAUUACCAUAUAGAUUUCUGGGGACCUGUAUUGAUUUAAGUUAGUAAAGAAACCCAGUGAAGUUUUAAAUAAUCGGAAUAAUAUUCUCCCUCUCUUUCAGUCAGAUUUGCCCUUCAUGUUCCUUGUGUUUCAUAAUCCUCCUAGCUCUCCAUUUCGUCAUUACAAGACCAGCAUCUCUACUGUAAAAGAAAAAAAAAAAAAAAAAACAAAAACAGAGAGAAAGAGUGAGAACCUCCUCCCCGAAAAAAAAAGUCUUUUUACAAUCUGCUAUUUAGAUCAAUGUUUAAAUAAAUUUAGGGCACAAAGUGAUCCUGGUUUUUAAUAGGCCUAUUUAGUUUCAUUUACUUACACAGGUAUUUUUUUGGAACCAGAAGCUCUCAGGAAGAGAAUGUGUUCGAUGCACCAAUACCCUUUAGGAUUUUGAUAAAAGACAGGAUAUCAUGAGUAUCAUCACCACUUCUGUUAUUCUUCUUAUAUAGUAGCGACAAGAUUGAAUCACCAUUUUUAGCUAUUCUUCAGCAGAACUCGUAAUCUAUCAAUGUGUCAGCUCAACAGCAGUUUUCUCUUCACACUAAUGUGAACCAGAAGGUCCAGCUAUCACUGAUUUUGACAUUUUUAUCUGAGAUUGCAUGUAUUGCAGAAGUUUGAAGCAGAUGAAUUAUAGAGCCUAUUACAUUUUCAUAAAGACAUACAAAACAUAGAAUACGUCACCUAAAACAUUUCAAACUAUUUUAUACCGGAUAACAUUCCUGUGCUUGGUGUUUCAUAAGCCUUCUGCUAGAAGCACUAUUAAAUAUUUGUCUGAUAAAUAACAAGGAUGAGAUCAAGUGUGGGUCCUGCAGUUUUUUAAUGCCUCACAUUGCCCUCUCUGUUGUUACAUAAUGCAUCAUAAAGAAAUACGUGCCUUCAUUCUCUUUAAAUCACUCCGGCAUGGAUAGCACUAAGCCUUCCUUCAAGUCCUCGUUAUGCAAGUCCUUACUGCUGCUAAUAGCUGUCAGCUCUGCAUGGUUACUUAAAAAACAAGGUAACUGCAGACUUUUUGUGAAGUUCCUUGCAUUUCUGGAAUUUUCAGUGAGGUGAUUCCAGGUGUGUUGCUCUCUUUAUCAGCUACAAACUAAGUUAUUACAAACAAACAGGUUUUCCCCCAUUAGAAUAAAGUCCCGUUCAUUCCAGAGCAUCAGAACGUAACUUGUUUUUUUGUUUAGUUGCCUCUGUAAGCACAUUAUGAGCAUCUUAAUGCGCUUCAGUGUCAAAACAGUGGAAUAGGUCAGAAUGCAGUAAUAUUUUGAAUGUUUGUUGGAGAAUGCAGGCAUAUAACUAAGUACUGAAAAAAUACAUAGCACAGUAAAAAAUCCAUGACCAAUCUAGCAAAGCUGUUAGGUAACAAAAAAUCCAUAUAGGCAUUAAGUACUAUUAUUUAAAGUAAAAUCUGUGUUAUACAGUAUAAGCAGCAUUCAAGUGAAAAUGAUAAGACAUCUAUAUAGAACAGAAAAUAUAAUUUGUAAAGCUAAGCUAUGAUACGACGCUCUGUAGUUCUUUACUUUGAAAGUGGAAUUUUACUCGUCAUUCUGUAAAGGUAUAAAAUUAACAGCAAGCACUUCAGGGAAUUAAGAAUGCUGCCUGAUUUGUGGAAAUUUUUUUCCCUCUGUAAAACACAGAGAUCAUUGGCGGCAAAAAAAUCAGGAAAAACCUGUCUGGGUUUUCCAAUAUCAUGGAGAUCUUGUCAAAUAUGCUGUCUUUUAAGAUGGCCUUGGUUUUAAAGAGACUGAAAUAGGAAUAUCUCAAAAUUUGUCAUGCUGACUAUACUUAAAAAUAUUUUCUCUUCUUUUUGCUUGUGUGAUAUGCAGGUAGUAACUCAGCGAUGUGUCACCAGGAAAGGAGGGUUUGUUUCAUAUUCCAUUAGCAGAUCGAUUAGUUUAACAAUCCUUUAUUGCAUUUCUACAUUUCUUUACCUUUUUGUUGCUUUUGUAAAUUUGAGGUACUAGCUUAUUUGUUUAUUUCCAUUUUCCUACUUCAGAUUUCGGUAUGACACAUGGAAAAUAUUUUUUUAAAAUUCCUUUGGCAAGCAGUAGGUUCGUGGGAGGAGGUCUGCACUGUAAAAAAACAGUGCACCUAUGAAAUUGUACUCCAGUGGGAGAUUAAAUAAGAAGGAGCAGGAUGACUGAGACAAGUCAUUUGUCACAGAUGUUCAUGCAGUUCUGAUGUUUUAUUUUAAGCUGGAUUCAUCAAACGUGCUAAGGAGUAAUUUCUGUCUGAUAUGAAGUUCCCAUCAAAGGAGACUAAGUGGUUUAAGUUUAAACUGAGGUUUGAAAAUACAGGGAAGUGUUACUGGACCGGUGACAGUUUGAUUCGGUAGCCAAAGUGGACACAAGGAAGUAAAUUGAAGAAUGCUAUUUUUGGCCUAAAAUACGUCAGGAAAAUACACCACUAAUAUGUUACUGUGGAGCAGUGACUUUAGCUAGAAGAUGGUUUUAUCUAUGAAGCACAAAGAUUUUACUGCAUCUGAAUUAUGUAAAUUAUAAAGGAUACCGACGCCGUUGGAAAGCAAGCAUGAAAUGGUGAUCUGUGAACCUCAGAUAUUUGAGCAACAUUUAUUGACCACUUUUACAGUAUUUUGCAAGUUUAUUAUAUAGGUUUAGUAUUAGUUUUAUUUAGUGCAAAUGGAGGAGGUAAGCACUAGUGUAAUAUUGAUUUUGGGUUUUUUAGAUAGGCCAAUUAUCAUAUUUAGUAAAGUACAAUACGAAUGAGAAGGCCCGGGACUAAGAUUACUUUAAAAGACUAAUUUUUUAAAAAAUCAGUAUUGGACUUAGUUUGUAUUAGUUGCUCUCUCUUUUAAUAUAAUUUUCUCUUUUGUUAAGUUCGACUCUCUUCCUUCAGAAAUACUGUGUCCCAGCCCCGAAAGGGAGAAAUAUAAUGACUACAAUUAGCUUCUGUUUACCGGAGCAAAAUGAAUUUUUUCCCAAAGUGAAAUACAUGCGUUAAUUGGCUAGACUUCCAGCAAUUUUUAUGUAUGGUAUUUCUGAGAAAGAGGUUGUAAUGUCCGUUUUAAUGCAGCUUACCACAGUAUAGCAGCCGUAAUUGAGCGCUUUUCUCUUUGGUAGUCAGAUAUACAGAAUUGUCAGGCUGUUUGCUUUUAAAUACCUGAAAACUGAAUCGGAGAAAAGUAUUUUUGAUAUGAUAAAUUUGGCUUUCCAGUCUGUACUUUCUUUUGAGUUUUCUAGGUAAAUGCUGCGCAGAUUGAUUAUCAGAAAAAUUGAGGCUUACGUAAUCGGGACAUACAUUUUUCUACUGCCUCCCUUCCCCCACUUAGCUUUCAUUUUACUAUGAAAAAUGAAAAAUUUUGAAAAGAAAAUUACUAUGACUUACUGAUUAUACACACAUUUUCAUGGAACUGCACAGCUAAGCUAGUUGUAUGUAUUUAGUAAAAGAAACAGCAAGCAAAAUAUUAAAACCUUGAGAUGGCUAAACUUUAAAAUUAUAGUCGUCAUUCAAUACAGCUUUAUCUAAUAUGCUGUACCUAGAUGCAUAGCAAUAAGUCUUUUUUCUUUGGAUAGGGAAUUAGAGCACUUCUAUGUAGUCAUUAUUUAGAAAAAGAAAAAUAAGAACAUCGUACCCCAUUUUUUUACUCGUCGUAAAGCUGAUGCUCCUUUGUAAGGGAGGUGGUUUAACACCUAACUUUGAGAGGAUGAUUUUCAGUGAUUGUUGUUGACAAAAUAUAAGCAAAUGAAUCAGAACUCUGUUCUGGUAGAUAAUUACAAACUGAAUUAACUAAAAAGAAUAAUAUUAAAAUUUUAUCUAAAUAUGUUAACAUGAGCUCUUACCCAUAGGUGGCAGUCAUCUUUCACUGUAGCGGGGAUGCCAAACUUUUGGUUCGUGCUAUUCACGCUUAUGCUGAAAUAAUUUUGAUGAGGUAUGCGUAUGUACAUAAGAAUAUACAUGUCUGCAUUUUGGGAGAGGGGGAAGGAGGUGAAAUUUACCAUAAAAUUACAUAGUAAUUAGGAGGAAUCUAAAUUGCUGUGUAGAAGCAGUAAGAUAAGAAAUUAUUGUAUUUUGGAGAAAAGGUAGAGGUGUUUUUAGAACCACAGAAACACUUUUUUUUAUCAAUCCAUUGCUGACGCUCCUCAAAACAAAGUAAUGAUAAUUCAGAAACCAGUUAGCCCUACAAAUUGAGCAGAAAGGCAGAUAUCUUGCCAGCCUUAGUGAACAUAACCCUAUAUCGUGCCGAGUCCUCCAAACCACAUUUCUGUCACCCUUUAUCUGUAAAUUACAGAAGCACCACAAUGAUGAUGUUGCCCUGGAAAUCUCAGCAAAGAGGUGUCUUAAAAUUGAGCAAAUACAGACAAAGUGCUCUAGAUGAGGGUGUCCUUUCAGUCCUGGAGAGCAAGCAGAGCCUGCGGGCUGCUGUGCCAUCCUGUGUCUCUGCAGGGCUGUGGUCGACACCCGUGGCAGCGCUGCACAAGGGGAGGACGCUGCCUGCCCAAACGGAGAUCUGCUCCGUUCUGCCAUCAGCUUUUUUUAGGGAUUUAUGUGGUUUAUGGGGAUUUCCUUUUGCAAUACCACUAAGGAGGCACUUGGGACCCCACCAAAACUGGAGGGGAUAGAAGGAACUAAUAAGGUCAUCUCAGGCUAAAACAAACAGAAGUCACGAAACUACAAAUGUGUCAUAGUGAAACGAUAACAUUCUUCUGAGAAUAGAAGACCGAAACCCGAAAUUCCUGGGUAGGUGAAGUCAUAUUCUUUUUUCUAUUACAGCUGCACUGAAACUCUUUUUAGUUAAGAUUAAUCUAAUAUUGUGUCAAGGUAGGCCGCUGUAUACAUUCAGCAGAGGUCAGGAACUAGCAUUUUACAAAAUAGAAAAUUGGAAAAAUAGACAAUUAUGUGUUGCUGUUACAGUGUUUCACUGUGAUGCAAGAUUAAGGGCUCAGAAUUGAGCAGAAUGGUGCAGUAUUAUUAAAACAGAAGGACUAAUUCUCCUUAUGCAAGAGUCGCAGCAACACACAUCAUUGUAUAAGCCAAAGCAGGCAGUAUGAUUUCAUAGUCACACAGGGUAUUUCCACAGACAGACAACCACAAUGUGACUAAUUAGAUAUUUGCAUAUGCAUGGCCCCAUUUGCUCCCCAACUGUAAUAAUUAGGAGUAUUGCACUUCACAUUAAUUUACACUCUUGUGUAACACUAUUGAAUAUACGAUAGAGGGUGGUGAUAAACUGGCCGGUGACAAAUGGGUAAAUUUGAUACAUGUUUUGAAAUCAGAGCUUUCAUAGCCAGCUUUGUCCUUGACAAAGUGGGCAGGGCUGGAGAAGACCUCCUCUACUGUGGGGCUUGAUCCUCUCUAUCGCAGGCAGCUGUGUUGCACUCUCCAACUUAACAUGCAGAGAUGCUGGACUCCAUCUUGAAGCUACCCCUGCCACCAGCUUGCCUCUGUUUUUUCUGUUCCUCUGUGUGGUUAAAGAUUUCAGGUCGUGUGUAUCGUGACCAGCUGAACCUCUCACAUUCUGCAAGGUCUUCACUUCAGUUUAAAGAGCAUUUCUCUCACCCAAUAUAAAGUCCGUUCCCGUCUGUCCUCCCUUGAGUUUUUCAGUUUACUGCUGAAACCUGCUCGGCCUGAGUUCAGCCAAACCAGCUGUGCCGUGCCUGUCACAGACAAGGGUGAUUUUCACUUAUGGUCCUUCUAACCCUCCUUUUUACCUCCACUUGCAGGAAAUCUCUUUUAAUCUGCAGGGUUAGAAGUAAGCACAGUGACCCAGACGAGAUGUUGCCACUGCCUCUUAUGGCAGCAUUAAUAUCUUCCCAUGCCUCCUGAUACAAAACAACUAAUAUUUUGAUUUUUAAUAUAUUUAUUUUAAUAUUGAAGCUACCUGCUCUCUGUAUCUCAAAAGCUGUAAGGAUUGACUGAAACACCCAACUUAUCCUUUUUUAUGAAUAAUGACAGCAAACAUUCUUCAUUCCUAGCUUGUGACCUUGACCUUUGCACUAUCAUACUGGUAUUGCAUGACAAGGGUGUCAAAAGGCUUUUUUAUGAAAGGGUGUCAUCACAUUCAUACAAGCCACGGGCUUCCCCUGAAUUCCAGCAUGUCCAGAUUUGUUUGGGAAUCUCUGCACUUUGCACGACUAUGGACGUGAGCUGGCACAGGCACACGAUGCAGCGCAGGGCACUGCAGGGGAGCCGGCUUGGCUCAUGGAACAGAGCUGUCUCUAGGAUUAGGUUACCUCCAGCACAUCACAGUGUGUUAGCUCAGGUAAGCCUUCCAGAGUUUGUACAGCACUUCUCACUUGCUGUUCUGCACUAGCUUCAUUUGACAGCUCUGGGAGCAAGAGACCAAAUUCUGAAAUAUUUUUACAGGAACAACAGAGGAAUGGACUUAGUGUCUCAAUAUAUUGUUUCUAUUGAUCUUUUAGGUUAAUCUCCAGUUUACAGGUGAUGCCUGUGAAAUUGAAGGAGGAAUGGAUUGUGUGGCACUCUUGAAUAACAUUAAAAAAUAACAAUUUUCUUUUUUGCCUUUUUUAAUAGAAGAAUCUGGAGGAUUUUUGUUGUUGUGUUUGUGGAAGUUAGCUGACAACAUGACUGUCUCUAAUUAAACAAGCAAAAAUCUGUUUUCUUUUUUUUCUUUUCUUUUCUUUUCUUUUUGCCUUGCCUUGGAACUGGUUACAUGGCCUUUGUAUUGUGGCGUUUUUAUAUAGCAAUUUUAUUUUAUAUAUUUUACUUCUGUGCCUGCAGAACAACUAAGAAACUUGACCACUUGAUUUGUCUUUAUAGUGAAAAUACCAUACUGAAGAAUUUUUCCUAAGUUUGGCAUAGGCAGAGUUCCAGGGUACUGAGUCAAGCUUAUCAUGUACAAUGACUCUCAUGCCCGUUGUUAUAGAAUAUUCCAGCCCUACUUUGGCAGGCAGUACCCCAGCUUUGAAUCCUCAGUUGAUCAUUCCUAAUUUAAAGUAGUCAGUGAAAAUAACUAAUAAUAUCUGUCUGAGAUCAUUCUUUAAGGAAGUUCACUAUAAACUUUCUGCUAGCUUGAGACUUUACCAAACUACUUUGCAAGCUUUUAUUCAUAUUUAGAGUUAAUUUAGCAACUGCUAUCUUCCUCAGUUUAUUUUUUUUCAAGUAGCGUACUAACAAAUGUUUUCCUGAAAUAAAGUCAGAUUAGGUCAGCUCACUUCCUUGAUGUAGAAAAUAGGAUUUGGUGCAUUUUUUGUAAAUGUCUGGCUAGUGUGCCAUAAUCUAUUAUUAGGAAAGCUUUGUAGUGUUUAUAUUUUUUUCUAUUUACCCAGUUUUAUCCCACGCAUCCUUGUAUCCAAAUUUUUGAUGGGCAGUCCCAAUUUUUCCUCCUGUCAAACUUUCAUUACUUCUAAAAUCUUAGUUGAGGUGACUGCUCUUGGGCUUGGAUUCAAGGACCAAGUUUGCUCACCCAGAAAUAAAGAAACCCAGAACAAAAAUUUUUUUUUGCCAUUUCACCUCUAUCUAAAGGAUUCCCGAAGAAGCUCACUCACAGAGACAGUAGGAAAACAUGGGUUUUCAUGGAGUCUUUAGCAUAUAGCUGAGAAGACCAUAGAUAAAAGAGCCUCUAAAUCCUGCAAUUUACUCCUCCAAGACUUUCACACUUCAUUUCUAGUCCAGCCCAGGGCUGAUCAUAUCUUGGAGCUUUUAUAAAGUCUUAAAAAGAAUGUGAACAUAGCUAACCAACUUGGUCAGGGUAGCUACAAGUUUAAAAGCAUCAUUUAAAAACCUGAAGUUAUGCCCAAAUAGAGAAACCAGAAAAUAACAUCUAGCUGGCCAAAUAUAUAUAUAAAACCAUAUUAACUGUAUCAAAAAAGUAUUUUGAAGAAAACCAGCGUGACCCAGGGGAAGAAACAGGCAGCUUUUGCAGAGGGAGGAGAUGCCUCACAAAUCCCUCCAUGUGGACGGGAGAUCUGGUCAACACGCUUAAAAGGAAUUAAAGAAAGACAUUUGACAUCUUUUACCAGAGGCUCUCAAAAACCUUAAGCUGCACGGACAAAGAGGCAGCCUCUCAUGUGGACAAACAUCACAGGAAAGAGAGGAAGCAAAGGUCAGAAACAAAUGGUCACUUCUUGUGGUGAUGGGAGCGCAGUAGCAGAGUCCCUUCACCAGCAUGCUCAGAAAUGUUCUGUGAAGGGGCAAGAAUACAAGUGCAGAGAUUACUGUCAGGAUGAGGAGAGCAUGAGGAACAAAGCCACAAAGCAGAGUGACUGAGCAAGAAAACAGCAGAUGAGCCUUGCUGUGGAUAAAUGCCCUGUGAUACACAGAGGGAUCUUGGCUGGCUCCUACCCCUCCAGAGCAGCCUCGUGGGGCUCCAAUAAAUGCUGCCACAAAAACAUCAAUGCACAGCUUGGCAGUGGUUCAAAAAGCAUGCAAAACAUUAGGAAUUGCAAAGAAAGGGACAGGGAACAAAAUCUUAAAAAAAAAAAAAAAAUCUCAUUAUUGUGGUGCUGCGUGAAACUCUUCUACCACUUUCUAAGUGCUGCACGUGUUUCUUUAGUCUGUCUGCCUUUAGCAAAAAGGCAUGGCAACGCCUGUGUUUAAAAAACAUUGCAAAAUCAAAGCUAGAAAGCCAGUAUCAGACAAACAAACAAAACCCACUGCACUGAAGGAAACAACAGUUUGCUUCACAGGCUUCUCCCCCACCUUCAGAAAAGCCAAAAGUAAAAAAAUUCAACAUAAGAGGAGAUAGCUAUGGCACUACUGGUAACAUGAUAAGGGUUGAUGAAGGUGAGUAUGUAGAAUAGUCUGAUCAUAGCGUGACCCUCAUUUGCACCUCUUCCCCUCUUUUAUCCUCAUAGAUCAAAUCUACUAAUAAAGGUAAAGCAGUUGUUCAAUGUCAUGCUAAAAAUCAUUGAUAAGCAAGAGAGACCAUUGGAUCCAUUAACCUGCAGACGGACAGAAGGGCAUCAUUUUUGGGGGGGCUUUUGUUCUCAGACUUCAACAGCCUUCCCUGUCACAGCUGCUCGGGGACACAUGGAAAACAAGCUGAGGAGAAGCAGGGUUGGAUGCACUUGGCAGCUCCUCCAUAAGGUGUGGAGGGUGAUUGGAGGAACUGGUGUUAAGCCAAGGGUUCUGCCAUAUGCAUGAUGAAUAGUAACAUUUUUCACUGCUGUAAGGCAGCAGCAAAUACUUUUAAGUGUGGUGAUCAAUUUUUUUCUCUAGCAUCUAAUUGAGCACCAGUAAAUAUGUUAUUAAGAUGCUUGACAGUGCUCUUUUGCAAUCAAGGCCAAGAUGUAGCCAGAUACUCAUCUUAAUCUUUUGAGACACAUUUCUAAUGAAUUUUUACAGUGCCUAGAGGAAAGGUCCCUGUUCUGAAGUGAGACACCUGGAUGCUAAAAGCAAAUUUUAAUUAAUAACAUAUUGUGUUUGUGAUGUCAGAGUGUCAUCUAAAGACAGUGGUAAAACCUUGUAUAGGCUACUGCCGGAAUCCUAUUAAUAAAAUUGCUCACUUUAAAUCACUCCCAGGGCACAAGAUAUGAUGUUCCUUUGUUGACAGUACUUCCUCCUGAAUAUUUAUAUUCAUGGUUAUCAAGGAACCACUCAAUACUGAGAGAAGCAAUAUUUUGAAGUAAUUCCAUUGUAUUGCAAUGUCUUUGCUAUCGUUCUGUCCUAUGAAGAUAUGGAUAAACUUGCAUUCUGCUUAUAAGAAAUACAGAAGAAGGUUGAGGCUCUAUACCCACUGCAAAAUGCAAUUAGGGAGGUAAGAUAUACCUAGUUAAGAUAGGUAUAUACUGUCUCCUUGAUUACUCAGUCCACUGUGAAUAAUCAGUCCUCACUUCUACAAUGGCAAUUUUUUGAACUUUUUUCUGCUGCACCAAAGGAACUUUUUAACUCCAAUUUAUUUGAAUAAAAUUUACAAAUUUUACUCAAAAAGUCUGUGAAAUUCUACCAUAUACAAAAGCUAAUCACUGCAGUGAUUGCUAUAGAGAUGGAUUCUGAUUUAAAUUCACAUUUCUAGUCAACAUAAUUUAAGUGCAAAAGGAUUUUGUUUUACUUUCACUACUAGGUUUUCUUAUUAUUUUUGAACCAUUGAGAGAAGAAGGAUGGAAUCCUAGACCCAGUGCAGUGCUGGAAAACGUGCAGAGAGCUACACUGAAAUGAGAGCUCAAGGUGUCCAGAGCUCAAACAAAAGCAAUUUGGCUAGUGUAGUAUGUUUUGAGCAGUCUUCUCAACAUUUUAGUUCUAAAACCUACAGAACCAAUCUAAAAUAAAAAAAAUCCGUUUAUCAUCUUGUGCAGUGGCCACAAAUGGUUUGAGUAAUAGUAAUAAUAAAGAACCAUGAAUUUUGGUGGCCUGCCUUUAUUUUUUUCAAUUAUAUACUUUUUACUAUUGUUAGUUGACUCCUACAUGUGUGAAAGCAUAUGGAUGUUUUAGUUUGGGGUGUGCUGUGAUACUACUUCUGGACAAACAAGUAGGUGCAACAGUUUUGCAGGCAAUUAUCUAGUAUUUCACUAUCUCCAUACUGCUCCUGGACAGCAGACCUGAAUUAGAAAAUAUAAAAAUUGUUUUCAUUAAGGUAUUUAUCAGAAAACCUGAAGGGACAUAUGUUGGAGUAAUUUGUAGCAAAUCAUUAAUACAAGAUAUGAAGUAAAUUUUCCAAUGAUUAAUUAAUUAGUAUAGUCUUUGGACAUUCCUCCUUGAUCUUUAGAUUAUUUCAACCGUUUUUAGGAGACAGGACAAUGUGAAAACUUUAUUAUUGUGAUAACAUGUCAAAAAACAAAAGGCAAUAACAUGGCAAAAAUCCACCAGAGCUGUAAUCAAGGGAGUAACAGAACAAGUCUGUCUGAGCUGGGAGCAGCCAGAAGAGCACAUCUUCUGUGCCAGAAAUGCAGGCAGAGUUCAAAUGCAUAAAAGUAGCUGUUGAACUAAAGCACACAGACCUGAAAAAAUGGGAUUGCUGGGAUGAUCAUGUAUCAUAGAAUUGUAGAAUGGGUCAGGUUGAAGAGCACCUUAAAGAGUUCCAGCCUCCCUAGCUUCCAGGCUACACCACCAUCCUUCCCAGAGGGCUCUCUCAGAAGCUGUGCACUGUCUUCAAGCAAGCCAGCAGAGAGCAGGACUCGUGUCCCCUCAGCCCUGUCCUACCAGCCAGGAGCAGAUUGAGUGCCUGGCCCUUUUGCCCAGGUGAGGGUGGGUGAGCACAAUACAACUUAACUAGGCUGCAAGAAAAACACAUGUGAUGGCCCUGUUCUGUCAGCCCAAUGAAACUCCCACUUCCACCUGCAAAAUCUGGAUGCCUGGAGGAUUUGAACCUUUUUAACCUUGGGGCAUGGCCAUAGAGAUAGAAGCACAGAGUGGCAGAGUAUAGUAAUCUUCAGGAUGUGUGGCAUCAUUAUAUUCAGGCACUGUGUAAGCCUGAUACAAUAGCUCCAACCACAUCUUAUUUGAAAUUGAACUAUACCUUAUUUAGGGCAGAGAAACAUUUUCAAAAUUGCUUGGACAUCAUAGAAUUUUUUAGAGGUAUAAUUUUCAGUUUUUCCAUUGAUCAUUUUUUUUUUAAUCACUAGUUCACUUUCCCCUCAUAUAUUUCACUUUAUCAUAGGGAUAGCUGUAUUUGUUGCUAGCAUGAAAUGCUAGAGGGUCCUACAUACUUUGAAGUUUCAGCUUUUGGUUUAUCUUGCCAAAAAUCUGGGUAUGGGGAUGAAUACAGAUGUAUCUUGUUUAUCAUAUUUGCCCUCUACAUAGGGAUACAAGGAAGCUUUCACUGGAUACAGAACAUACUGUAUUAAUUUCGUAGAUUUGGUUUUGCAUGUGGUACAAGUAUUUGUUUUGCUGGAUUCUCAAAACUUCUGGAGAAAAGGAUUGUUGCCACGUAAAUGUCUUUCAAGAAAACAGCAAACAAACUGAAGAGCCAAGAUCUCCAUCGUGGCGCCGCUCAGCUGACCUCAGCCACUUUGCACGAGGAGGGAGUGAGUGUUGCCUGUAUCUGCUGUAGUUGUUUCACUGCAGAUGAAAAGCAAAGGCAAGGUUUCCUCCUACCAGGGUUUUGUCAGAAAGGGAAAUCUGCUUUCUAUACACACAUUAGCAGAGCCUGAGAGAUGGGGCAAGUUUUACUUCCUGGUGGCACGUAUGAAACACCCUUUAGUUGGGAGAAAAUCGUGUAAGUUUUGAAGAAAGAAGACUAAGAGUAAAGCAGGGAGUAUUAACUACAAAUGAAGGGGACAGUCCUUAAGAGGAUAAUUUUCUGCUUUUAAAUCUGGUGCCCGUAUUAAAAUUUCUCCCAGCAGUAUGUGCAUGACUGAUACUUAUUCAGCUGAUAGCGCAAAGCAGCAGUGACCCUGGCACCAAUGCCGAGGCAAUAUUUACAAAAGGAUGAACUAUUUUUGAACAAUGUCUUCAAUGUACUAAGCACAAACAAGCUUUUCUUCAGCAUCAGGCAUGCAUGUUGACUCGUUCCAACGAUUUUGUUCAUGUACAAAUGUAUUCAUUGUGGACAAUGCAAGGAAAAUGUCAUUCUCUAUUUAUAUCCCAGUUUCCCUUUGUCCUCUUUACAGUAUCUUGGGGCAGUGAUGCAGAGCAGAAUCUUGUUCUAAACUCCUGCUAUUUUCCUCCCCAUCUUCCGAAGCGCUCACAGUAGCAGAGACGCAGCGAGUUAAAAGGCUCCCUACAGCAGAUUUUUUUUUCUUUUGAGACACAAAGAUCGGUCUCUCUGCCUCCGCUUCCCAGCAGAGAAGAUCUAAGUCCUGCCUCUUGCUCCAUCACUCGGAGCACAUAAUGGUCUUGGCAGCAGAGGAUGUGGUGGUAGCAGCAUUUUGAGCCAUGUAAGUGGAUGCACCUGGCAUAGCAGUGUGAAUAAGCGAUGUUAAGGCAAUUCUCUCCCAGCAAUAUAUGAAACCAUCCACUUCAUGAACAGCCUCUCUGUGAUAAAGGCUGCCUUUCUGUUGACUUGGAUAAGUUCCCCAGUAUGGUGAAAACAGAAUAAUGGAGGACUUUGAAAGAAGGGCCCUUGUACAGAAAAUAAUUAAUCUUGCAGCAGAGGGGCAGGGAGAAAGAUUUAGUGACACUUGAAAACAAAAAACAUCCCCAAGUCCUAGGACUAAACUAAAAAGCACAAGUGCAGGCUCACACUGUGUUUUCAUUGUAGAACAAUUCGUCUGUCCUGAAAGCAUCUCUCUUGGGCAGGUUGGCCACCAUUUCUGGUAGGAAUUAGGAACAUUAUUUUAAAGGACAUUUCAGGGAAAUUCUAUUUUGCCUUUCAAGCAUCGUCUGAUUUUCUUCAAGGUGGAAAUGUCCCUUCUCUCAACUGUGGCAUUCCACUCUGAUGAGCUUCACUUUAUUGGUAAAAUGAUAUGCAUUGUCUUAGUGCUAUAAUCAUAUCUUUACAAAAAAUCAAGUGAUAAAACUCCUUACUUCUACAAUGAAAAUAAUGUAAAUUGAAAGCUCAACGUUAAAUAGAAUUUGCUUUUAAUAGAUUGCUGCACUCUUUCCAGCUAUGUGUAUACAAAGAAAAUAGUCACGCAUGCCUCAGAUGCAACAGUGAAAGGAAUAUAACACAUUCCACAUGUUCUAAGAAAUUGAAAAACUCGCAUUUCUGAAGGAAGAAUAUGUGGCUGUUUUCCAGUGGGAGACUCCUGAGGCCUGUGCACUCACUUGAAUGGAUCUCCCAGUAAAGAACAUCCCUUAUACACAGGAUUCACAUCCAAUGCAAGCAUCAAAACAUUUACUGAUGAUAAUGGAUUUUGUAUGAAAGUAAGUCUUUUCCCCAGAUAAAAUAUCUCAAUCAGGUUGAAGCAAUUUUGUUCUCUGAAAGAAGAGUUUGAGACUUAAUGAAUAUUACCAAAUGAAAAAAUUCUAACCACAUAAUACCUUUUAGAUAAAGGGUAUAUAGAACACCAAAUAAAUGAACUCUUCUUGUAAUUCAUACUUCUAAUAAUGCAUGAUUUCAUAUGCUUUAGCACAUAAAAGAUUAGAUAGCUUGAAAAUUAGAGCAGUCAAACUUUUAGUACAGUGUGAGAUGAAGAUAAGGAGAAUUCAGUCACCAAAAGCGUCUUUCCUUCAUCACCAUCUAACUCAUCCUUAAGGAAUUUUUAAAAUUACAAUUGAGCAAUUCUUAACUACUGUACAAAAAUAACUUCUAUUAGCUGGAAAACAUUUUAAGAUCUUUCAACUUUAGGGUAUAGAGAUAAACUGCCAAGUGAAGGCUUGCCUUAUCACUCCCAUAAAUUGAAGUUUGACAAAGGUUGGUAAUUCUGACAUUUGGAGAGAUGAUUAAACCUCCUAAAUGAUUGAAAGCUAAGCAUAACCUUCAAGUUUAAAUGAAGAUUAAAUGAUCAUCUAUUAUGGAUGUAUGCAAUAUAUAUGAUUUCAACAGUUAGCUGGCAGCAAUCAUUCAUUCUCAUUUUUCAUUAAAUUUUUAGAAAGUGGCAUCCCCCAGAGUUAAAUCUGGCAUCUGCAACUAAGAACAAUAUUGAAAUACAAACAAUUUGGUUGUAAUCUAGUUUAUUGUUUUAUUUUUUUUUUCAAAAAAUUUCUAUCACUUCUGCAUCACCAUAUUGAAAUGGCUCAGAAAAUUAACUGAUCAGUCCCUGUUCAAAUAAUGAAAAACCUUUGGAAGUGUUUUAAUAUGAUGUGAGUCUUUAGUGAGCAGCAGGAAAAAUAUGCUCUCUUCAGUAAAGUUUCUAAAAACGUUUUCUCAGUAUGCAAUAUGUGUCAAUACAGAAGACCUUUUCUGCCAAAACAUCAUUUUAUCUAAGGGCAAGCCUUGGAAAAUGCUACUUAUCAGGUUCUUUUAAUCAGAUAAUGUAUAAUGAAUAACUGCAGCUAACAGUAUAUUUUGCUUUUGUUGGUACUGAAGCAACUGGUAUUACUGCUUUUUGUAAUUUCACAUUACUUAGCAACAAAAAAGUUUAACUUCUGUUGUUGGAAGCUAUGCUAGGAUUAUUUUCACAGUCUGCUCAAUUUGCCUGCUCUUACAUCUGACAAUCCACCAUAAGCAAUUGAGAAAUAUUUUCUGCACAAGCUACGUUAAGCCUCAUAACAAUUAUUGCUAUCUUGGCUGAUCCACUCAAAACCCUUUCUCCACUUAAUCCAAAAACCUAAAGCUCUUUCUUUUCAGGCAGCAUAUCCUGCCUCAUGGAAGGCAUGUUACCACUACAGUCAUGGUCAGAAUCUGGGUACAGAUGCAAUGGGAAUUAUUAAAGUUAUGUAGGCUCAAUGUUAGAUAAUUAAUCCUCUGAUUAUUCCCCUUCAGUGCUGGGUCCCACCCCUGGACGCUGUGCUUGACCUACAGACAGUACUGAGCCUACAAUAAAAGCUUGUGGUCACCAUUUCUAGAGACAAAUCAUUUGCAUAUGAGAUGACUGUAGCAGCAGUUCUGGUGUCACCACAUCUAGUCUGGGCACAUAUUGAAAAUGGAUCUUCUUACAUUCAGUGAUAGUUCAGUUUAGCAAAGAAACUUAGGAUUCAUUUGGUUUAAAGGUGCAAUAUGAACAUAAAGCCUGAAAUGAGACAAGGGUUUGGGAAAUAAGACUUCAGCAGAGACAUGUGAGGUUCAACAUCUGAGAAAUCUUUUUGAGAGGGUGAGUACUCAGCACUUCUCAUAGUAGUUGUGAGAUCUUUGUUUUGCUCUGAAUGCAUUCAGUAAUUUUCAGGCUGUGGUGUCACAUUCUGAGCCAGUGCCUUGAACCUGGAGCCAUCCCUGUUAUUUCUAUUUGGAGCAGGGUGCAUCUCCAGGUAACGCAAACAACCAGCCCCUGGGAAACUCAUUUGACACAUCCACCCUUGCCCUGCCUGUGGGCUGCAGGGACCCUUGCAGAGCUGUGAGGGCAGAGGCACCCUCCUGACCCAGGGGAAGCACAGCAAACGCAGGCCUGCAUUCAGCCACCACAUGCCCAUGCUGUCCAUGCCCAGUGCAGUUAAAUAAAUGGACGUUCUUGAUUUCCUGGCCUUCACUGAAUUGGACACACAUCCUGCAGUUGGCUGUGAUUUGUAUUUCCUUCAGCACCUGUAGUCUGUGGUAUGCACUUGGCCACUGUGAUGUGUGAGUGUUUCAUAACAACUAGACUGGGUGGGAAACUCGAGCUCUGGACAGGUGACAUUUUUGAUGCCGUGGAACAGAUGCAAACUUCUGUAAUACAAACUAAGUGGUUGUUUUUACUGAGGCCAUGAAGUGCAAACAUUUUUUUUAAUUUAUUUCAUAAUCCAACUUGUAUUUUAUACUCCAAAGUCUGAUAACCACAAUAAUUUUGCCAGAAAGAAACCUUUCUGAGCUGGCUGGCUCUACAGAUGAAUGCCACAUCUAAACAUGAAUGCCACAUUCAUAAACCAAAGAUUUUCUUUUGCAGCUCUUUGUACCAGAAGUGUUUGGGAUCUGUAGGAGAGGCAACAUGACCCCAAGCAGGGUCCAUAGCUCAGAAGCCAAGGAGCUGGGCAGCUCCUGAGCAGGCUGGCUCUGCACACCUCAGUCCCACCGCUCAACAAGCGCUACAUCUUCUUGGGUUUUUGUCACCCUGACACACAUCCACAGUCCUGGGCCAAAUGUUUCUUAGAGGGAUUGAGAGAUGGGGCCAGACAGACCUCAGUCCUUCAGCCAUUUGGGAGCAUGUUCAUGGGGCUGAACAGAAACAUCACACCCUAUUAUAGUCUGGCAGAAGCUGGACAGCAUCACCAACUUUUGGCUCAAGUCCUCAGGUGAGCACUCUCUCCAGGAAAAAUGUUUUAAGUGAUGGAUGAAUUUAAAGUGUUAAUUACACCAAAGAAGGUAAUAAAAAGGAGUGGAGUUGAGUUUUCAUUUCAAUUUUAAGUGAAAUUUCAAAGACUGUAUAACAUUUAAGCUGUAAUAAACAAAUGCCUAGAAGGGAGAAUAAAAUGCUGGUACAAACUUUGGAA